rnacentral:lncRNA from 1 species
CACAUCUAAAUUUUUAUGAUUUCAAAUUAAAAUAAUUUUAAUUUUUAAGAUUAGAUGUAAUUACUUUUCUUCAUAACUUGUAUCACAUACAACAAAUCUUAAGAUUUCAAGAUCUAAGAUUUUACAGAAAAGUAAAUUCUUCUUUUCAUUUUUUUCUUCAUGGGACCUCAUAAUGGCACCCCUACAUAUCAUAAGAGCACCACAUUGAAUCGGAGGAGAGGAUCAUAUAACCCUACUUGCUCCUA